rnacentral:rRNA from 1 species
UGGGGAAUCUUCCGCAAUGGGCGCCAGCCUGACGGAGCUAUACCGCGUGAGGGAAGAAGGCUCUUGGGUCGUAAACCUCUUUUCUCGGGGAAGAAAGAUGACGGUACCCGAGGAAAAAGCCUCGGCCAACUCCGUGCCAGCAGCCGCGGUAAUACGGAGGAGGCAAGCGUUAUCCGGAAUUAUUGGGCGUAAAGCGUCCGCAGGUGGCAUCUCAAGUCGGCGGUGAAAGGCUGGGGCUUAACCCCAGACCAGCCGUGGAAACUGAGGAGCUAGAGUGCGGUAGGGGUAGAGGGAAUUCCCAGUGUAGCGGUGAAAUGCGUAGAGAUUGGGAAGAACACCGGUGGCGAAAGCGCUCUACUGGACCGCAACUGACACUCAGGGACGAAAGCUAGGGGAGCGAAAGGGAUUAGAUACCCCCGUAGUCC